UACUAUUAUCUAAUGGUUUUGAAUCCCUGUAUGCUGCAUGCCAAGCCAACAAAUUUUUUGCAAAUUCUGUGCAGAUGGAACCACUGCCAGUCUGGACUAAAAGGGACAGAAAAGGGACAGACUGAAGGAAAAAUUACUUCAAAAGCAGAACCACAGAAGGCAAGGUCUGGAGCUAAGACAACUCAGGAUAGGAGAACGGACCCAUCCGUGCAUGUGGAGAGGUUUUGAUCCACUCCAGAAAAUGAAUGAAGAAAAACAUACUUGGAAGCAUAUGGUGAGCAGCUUGAGAGAAUGAAGAAUAGAAGCGAUGACAGCCCACAUCUCUUUUCCCUAAUCUCACAUGGAAAGUUUUCAAUAUUUCACCAUUAAAUGUUCAUUUCCUUUUUUUGUUGUUGAUACCAAGUAUCAGACUAAGAAAGUUGCCUUAUACACUGUAUGCUAAGAGUGCCUAUCAUGAAUAGAGAACUGAAUUUCAUCAUGUAAUAUUUUUCUACACAUAUUCAGUUAAUAUGGCUUUUCUCCUUCAAUCUGAUUUGAGAAACUGUUAACUGAUUUUUUUAUUCAUUUUAUUGAUAUAUUCACCACCACGCAGUCAUACAAAACAAAUUG